UACAGAGGUCCCAAGCGUUGUUCGGAAUCACUGGGCGUAAAGCGCACGUAGGCGGAUGUGUCAGUCAGGGGUGAAAUCCCGGGGCUCAACCUCGGAACUGCCUUUGAUACAGCACGUCUCGAGUCCGGAAGAGGUGGGUGGAAUUCCUAGUGUAGAGGUGAAAUUCGUAGAUAUUAGGAAGAACACCGGUGGCGAAGGCGGCCCACUGGUCCGGUACUGACGCUGAGGUGCGAAAGCGUGGGGAGCAAACAGG
rnacentral:rRNA from 1 species